GACGAACGCUGGCGGCGUGCUUAACACAUGCAAGUCGAACGGAAAGGCCCUGCUUUUGUGGGGUGCUCGAGUGGCGAACGGGUGAGUAACACGUGAGUAACCUGCCCUUGACUUUGGUAUAACUUCAUGAAACUGGGGCUAAUACCGGAUAGGAGCUCCUGCUGCAUGGUGGGGGUUGGAAAGUUUCGGCGGUUGGGGAUGGACUCGCGGCUUAUCAGCUUGUUGGUGGGGUAGUGGCUUACCAAGGCUUUGACGGGUAGCCGGCCUGAGAGGGUGACCGGCCACAUUGGGAAUGAGAUACGGCCCAGACUCCUACGGGAGGCAGCAGUGGGGAAUAUUGCACGAUGGGCGGAAGCAUGAUGCAGCAACGCCGCGUGCGGGAUGACGGCCUUCGUGUUGUAAACCGCUUUCGCCUGUGACGAAGCGUGAGUGACGGUAAUGGGUAAAGAAGCACCGGCUAACUACGUG
rnacentral:rRNA from 1 species